UACGUAGGGUGCAAGCGUUAAUCGGAAUUACUGGGCGUAAAGCGUGCGCAGGCGGUUAUGCAAGACAGAUGUGAAAUCCCCGGGCUCAACCUGGGAACUGCAUUUGUGACUGCAUGGCUAGAGUACGGUAGAGGGGGAUGGAAUUCCGCGUGUAGCAGUGAAAUGCGUAGAUAUGCGGAGGAACACCGAUGGCGAAGGCAAUCACCUGGACCUGUAAUGACGCUCAUGCACG
rnacentral:rRNA from 1 species